rnacentral:rRNA from 1 species
UGCGGCCAACCAACUCCGGUUGAUUCUGCCGGAGGCCACCGCUGUUGGGGUCCGACUAAGCCAUGCGAGUGGCGGGCGCUUCCGAAAGGGAGUGGCCCCGCGCACGGCUCAGUAACACGUAGUCAACCUACCCUCGGGACGGGGAUAACCCCGGGAAACUGGGGAUAAUACCCGACAGGAAAUGGAGGCUGGAAUGCGCCAUUUCCCAAACCCAGCGGGUAAAACCGUUUGGGCCCGAGGAUGGGACUGCGGCCUAUCAGGUAGUUGGUGGUGUAACGGACCACCAAGCCUACGACGGGUACGGGCGAUGGGAGUCGGAGCCCGGAGAUGGGGACUGA